CUUUACUGCAGCUUUACAUUGGACUUUGAACAGAUCUGUGUAGGAUAGGUGGGAGGCUUUGAAGCGGCGCCGCUAGGUGUCGUGGAGCCAACCUUGAAAUACCACCCUGGUGUGUUUGAGGUUCUAACCUUGGCCCGUAAUCCGGGUUGGGGACAGUGUAUGGUGGGCAGUUUGACUGGGGCGGCCUCCUCCCAAAGCGUAACGGAGGAGUUCGAAGGUGCGCUAGGCACGGUCGGAAAUCGUGCUGAUAGUGCAUAGGCAUAAGCGUGCUUGACUGCGAGACUGACAAGUCGAGCAGGUACGAAAGUAGGACUAAGUGAUCCGGUGGUUCUGUAUGGAAGGGCCAUCGCUCAACGGAUAAAAGGUA
rnacentral:rRNA from 1 species